UGUACACAGUACUCCAUGUGUGGUCUGACUAGUGAUUUGAAAAGUGGUUGGACUAUGCUCUCAUCACGGGCCUUAUUGGCCUUGGUUUUUAAUGGGACCUGAUGGUGUCUUCCUUUUGGGUGUUAAUUUGGACAAUUCCUUUUCUGGCCUGUACCAGAGGCCAGAUUUAGGCCCCUGUCACCCAGGCACAGCAGGGGUUUAUUCACUGCAAA